GGAGGGAGCGAGCGUUGUUCGGAAUCACUGGGCGUAAAGGGCGCGUAGGCGGCCGAGUAAGUCGUGUGUGAAAGACCGGGGCUCAACUCCGUGUACUGCAUGCGAUACUGCCCGGCUAGAGAAAGGUAGAGGCGAGUGGAAUUCCCGGUGUAGCGGUGGAAUGCGUAGAUAUCGGGAAGAACACCUGUGGCGAAGGCGGCUCGCUGGGCCUUUUCUGACGCUGAAGUGCGAAAGCGUGGGGAGCAAACAGGAUUAGAUACCCUGGUAGUCCACGCCGUAAACGAUGGGCACUAGGCGUUGGGAGGAUUGACCCUCUCAGUGCCGUAGCUAACGCGUUAGUGCCCCCGCCUGGGGAGUACGGCCGCAAGGCUG
rnacentral:rRNA from 1 species